AUCAGCUUUUCGUAGUCUGAAGAGAAGUCAGCUGUGAAUAGCUUGUAGAAGAAGUGCGUCUUUACAAAGUACUUUUGUGCUAUUGUGUUACUGAAGAAUAGUGCCUUACAUUUUCUGAAUUUUGUUAUUAAUUCGAUUGUUUAUUGCUGGGGAACAUCUAGUUUCCUUUCCUUGAACGACGGGAUAGAUGACAAUGGAUGAGAAGUAUGUGGAGAGCAUUUGGGCUUUAUUAAGAAAUGCAAUACAGGAAAUACAGAAGAAGAACAACUCAGGUCUAAGUUUUGAGGAAUUGUAUAGAAAUGCAUAUACUAUGGUUCUUCAUAAGCAUGGUGAACGUCUGUAUAAAGGUUUGAAGGAGGUUGUGACGCAACACUUAGAGUUAAAGGUGAGAUGCUUCAUAAGUGUUUAUGC